CAUCAUAUGAUGAGAAAAACAAAAUAACUGCAACAAUAUGAUUGGAUUUAUUUCCAUGAUUCUUAUCAUUUAUUUCUCUGAUGAUA